rnacentral:rRNA from 1 species
AGCGAACGCUGGCGGCGUGCUUAACACAUGCAAGUCGAACGUGAAAUGCAGCAAUACAGAGUAAAGUGGCGUACGGGUGAGUAACACGUGGGUAAUCUACCAAAGAGCCUGGAAUAACCGACAGAAAGGUUGGCUAAUACUGGAUAGUUCAAAUGAAAAAUAAUGUUUCGAUUGGGAAAGGGAGCGAGCAAUCGCCUUCACUUUUUGAUGAGCCCGCGUCUGAUUAGCUAGUUGGUAGGGUAAUGGCCUACCAAGGCGACGAUCAGUAGCUGGUCUGAGAGGAUGAUCAGCCACACUGGAACUGAAACACGGUCCAGACUCCUACGGGAGGCAGCAGUGGGGAAUCUUGCGCAAUGGACGAAAGUCUGACGCAGCCACGCCGCGUGAGUGAAGAAGGCCUUCGGGUUGUAAAGCACUGUCGGAAGGGACAAAAACGUUUAAGGUUAAUAGCCUUAGAUCUUGAUGGUACCUUCAAAGGAAGCACCGGCUAACUUCGUGCCAGCCGCCGCCGUAA